rnacentral:lncRNA from 1 species
UUACUUUGGCUUAUUUUUAAGCACUCGUCACAUCGAAUGUUUAGAUACUAAUUAGAAGUAUUAAACGUAGAUUAUUUAUAAAACUCAUUACAUAAGUGGAGGCUAAACGGCGAGACGAAUCUAUUAAGCCUAAUGAGUCCAUGAUUUGACAAUGUGUUGCUACAGUAAACAUUUGCUAAUAAUGAAUUAAUUAGGUUUAAUAAAUUCGUCUUGCCGUUUAUUUCAUCUGAGCAAUUAGUUUUAUAAUUAACUCAUAUCUAGUCCUCUUAAUUAGUUUUCGAAUCUUCGAUGUGACACGGACUAAAAAUAAGCAAGUUGAACCAAACACCCCCUUGGCACUAUAGACUGUACUCGCC